UACGAAGGGGGCUAGCGUUGUUCGGAAUCACUGGGCGUAGAGCGCACGUAGGCGGAUCUUUAAGUCAGGGGUGAAAUCCCGAGGCUCAACCUCGGAACUGCCUUUGAUACUGGGGAUCUCGAGUCCGGGAGAGGUGAGUGGAACUGCGAGUGUAGAGGUGAAAUUCGUAGAUAUUCGCAAGAACACCAGUGGCGAAGGCGGCUCACUGGCCCGGAACUGACGCUGAGGUGCGAAAGCGUGGGGAGCAAACAGG
rnacentral:rRNA from 1 species